rnacentral:rRNA from 1 species
CCCAGACAGCCAGGAUGUUGGCUUAGAAGCAGCCAUCAUUUAAAGAAAGCGUAAUAGCUCACUGGUCGAGUCGGCCUGCGCGGAAGAUGUAACGGGGCUAAACCAUGCACCGAAGCUGCGGCAGCGACGCUGUGCGUUGUUGGGUAGGGGAGCGUUCUGUAAGCCUGUGAAGGUGGCCUGUGAGGGUUGCUGGAGGUAUCAGAAGUGCGAAUGCUGACAUAAGUAACGAUAAAGCGGGUGAAAAGCCCGCUCGCCGGAAGACCAAGGGUUCCUGUCCAACGUUAAUCGGGGCAGGGUGAGUCGACCCCUAAGGCGAGGCCGAAAGGCGUAGUCGAUGGGAAACGGGUUAAUAUUCCCGUACUUGGUGUUACUGCGAAGGGGGGACGGAGAAGGCUAUGUUGGCCGGGCGACGGUUGUCCCGGUUUAAGCGUGUAGGCUGGUUUUCCAGGCAAAUCCGGAAAAUCAAGGCUGAGGCGUGAUGACGAGGCACUACGGUGCUGAAGCAACAAAUGCCCUGCUUCCAGGAAAAGCCUCUAAGCAUCAGGUAACACGAAAUCGUACCCCAAACCGACACAGGUGGUCAGGUAGAGAAUACCAAGGCGCUUGA